rnacentral:rRNA from 1 species
GCUAAGGUCCCAAAUCAUAUCUAAGUGGGAAAGGAGGUGGAGAUUCUUAAACAACUAGGAGGUUGGCUUAGAAGCAGCCAUUCCUUGAAAGAGUGCGUAAUAGCUCACUAGUCGAGAGUCUCUGCGCCGACAAUGUAACGGGGCUAAGAUAUGAACCGAAGCUGUGGAUGUCGUAAGACAUGGUAGGAGAGCGUUCUGUAGGCCGUCGAAGGAGGACUGAAAGGAACUCUGGAGGUAUCAGAAGUGAGAAUGCAGGAAUAAGUAGCGAGAAGGGGAGUGAGAAUCUCCCCCGCUGGAAGACCAAGGUUUUCAGGGUAAAGCUUGUCUUCCCUGAGUAAGCCGGGACCUAAGCCCAGGCUAGAAUGCGUAGGCGAAUGGAAAACAGAUGAAUAUUUCUGUGCCAGUUCUACUUUGUGAAGGAGGGACGCAGAAGGGUAUGCGCGCAGACGAACGGAAGAGUCUGUAGAAGCAUGUAGAGUGACUUGGUAGGCAAAUCCGCCAGGUUAGACUUAAGGUGUGACAUAUACUCGCAAGAGGAAUGCGCAAAUCCCACGCUGCCGAGAAAAGCUUCUAGCGGUAAAGUAGAGACUGCCCGUACUGGAAACCGACACAGGUGGUCAGGAUGAGAAAUCUAAAGCGGACAGGCUAACUCUCGUUAAGGAACUCUGCAAAAUGGCCCCGUAACUUCGGGAGAAGGGGUGCCUUUAGGCGUGAGUAUACAAGCGAUACAAAGCGCUUUGAGGUCGCAGUGAAGAGGCUCAAGCAACUGUUUAACAAAAACACAGGUCUAUGCGAAGCUGUAAGGCGAAGUAUAUGGGCUGACACCUGCCCAGUGCCGGAAGGUUAAGAGGAGGAGUGAGAGCUCCGAAUUGAAGCCCCGGUGAACGGCGGCCGUAACUAUAACGGUCCUAAGGUAGCGAAAUUCCUUGUCGGGUAAGUUCCGACCUGCACGAAUGGUGUAAUGAUUUGAGCGCUGUCUUGACGGGAGGCCUGGUGAAAUUGUAUUACCGGUGAAGAUACCGGUUACCUACAGUAGGACGGAAAGACCCCAUGGAGCUUUACUGUAGCUUGGUAUUGGGUUUUGGCAUGGCAUGUAUAGGAUAGUUGGGAGACUGGGAAGGAAUGGCGCUAGCUGUACCGGAGUCAUCGGUGGAAUACCAACCAUUCCCUGCUGAAAUUCUAAUCUGUACUUUGGAGGUAUGGAGACAGUGCUAGGUGGGCAGUUUGACUGGGGCGGUCGCCUCCGAAAGAGUAACGGAGGCGUUCAAAGGUUCUCUCAGGUUGGAUGGAAAUCAACCGCAGAGUGCAAUGGCAAAAGAGAGCUUGACUGCAAGACUGACGGGUCGAGCAGAUGCGAAAGCAGGACAUAGUGAUCCGGCGAUUCCGUAUGGAAGGGUCGUCGCUCAACGGAUAAAAGCUACCCUGGGGAUAACAGGCUGAUCCUACCCGAGAGUCCAUAUCGACGGUAGGGUUUGGCACCUCGAUGUCGGCUCAUCGCAUCCUGGGGCUGGAGAAGGUCCCAAGGGUUGGGCUGUUCGCCCAUUAAAGCGGUACGUGAGCUGGGUUCAGAACGUCGUGAGACAGUUCGGUCCCUAUCCACUGUAGGCGCAAGAAUAUUGAGAAGAUCUGUCCUUAGUACGAGAGGACCGGGAUGGACAAACCUCUGAUGUACCAGUUGUCACGCCAGUGGCACAGCUGGGUAGUCACGUUUGGCAUAGAUAACCGCUGAAAGCAUCUAAGCGGGAAACUAGCUUCAAGAUAAGUAUUCUAAGAGGAAGCUUCGAGAACAGGAGCUGGAUAGGUUGGGGGUGUACGCGCAGUAAUGUGUUUAGCUGACCAAUACUAAUCGAACGAAAUUUUAAUCGG